GGCGGGAGGAAGUCGAGCCGGGAGGGCGCGCCGGGGCGGGCGGCCGGGCCCAGGUGAGAGGCGAGCCGGGAUUCCGGCGGCCGGGCGGGGCGGCCGGGCUCGGACCCUUCCCCUCCCGUGCCAUUCAGCCGCUAAAGAAACAUUUAUUGAGCACCUCCUGGGUGCAGGCGCCGAGGCCACAGGAGGGGGCACCCAGACUCAGCCUCUGUCCUCAGGAGGGCACUCUGAUCUGAUGGGGAGGAGACAAGUAGCUGGACAGUGACAGUGUGUGUGUGGGGGGGGGCGGUGGACAGGGAAAGAGGAGGCACCUGGCUCACUUCCCCUGGGAGGAGAGAGGUGGGGGUCUGCCAUGCUCACCUACGGGCUUGGUGGGGACAGGGACUGGGUCCUGGGGACCCAGUAUAGGUGGGGCACUGAGCAUUGGUGAAUGAAUGAAUGAAUGAAAGUGCAUUUCCCCCAGGGCUCUGGAGACAGAGCAUACCACAGUCCUCCCUCCAGGUGUUUCAGGCCAGGUGGGAAGGGAGUGACCCGGGCACGCCCUUAUGGGUCAGUGGUGGCACUGCCAGGCCUGGCCCGCCUGCCCCUAGCCAGCACCAGGAAGUUUCGCUGCAGGUGGGUCACUGCCUGCCUCCCCUCUGGCUGGGGCAUAAUCUGGGGAAAGUAAUGGAAACUUCCAUCUAUGAAGUGCUUGGAGCAGGGUCUGGCUGGUGCCAUGUGUGAGUGGUUCCUAUUCUUUAACCCAACACUGAUGGCCCCUCUGUGCCCAAGGGCCUGGGGACCCUGAACCGUUCAAGACAAAGUCCCUACCUUGAGAAGCCCUUGGCCUCAAAUGGGAGACAGGCAGGACCACGGUGUGACGAGAGCAACAGUGGAGGGAGGGACCGGCAGUGGGAUGGGCGUAGGACAGAGGGCUCCUUCCCUGGGUUAGGGGGUCAGGAAACCCUUCUGAGAAGAGAGGCCAGUCUUGAGGAAGAAGUGAGACCCUGUCAGAUGGGGGAAGGGAAGGGUGUUCCAAACCGAAGGAAUAGCAUAUGCAAGGUAUGGAGGCAAGGGGCGGGGGUGCUUUAGGGGGCCCGCAGUCCUUCCUGAGAUGGAGGGCAAGGUUGGGUUAGGGAGCUGGUGCUGGGGGUGAGGCUGAGGGUUAAACAGACCUGGAUAGUGGAGGAAUAAAUAGAGAACUGACUUGGAAACCCACUGUCACCUCAUUUCCCACCCUUGUUAGCAGCCAGAAUUGAAAUCUUUUAACAAUGGGCACAAGGGCCUCCCCAGAUCCUAGACUGAGUGUUUUCGUCAAAGCUCAAAGGAACAGAGGGCAGAAGUCUUUGAGUUUCACGCCCUCGCCAAAGCAGGUCGUGACGUCAUCCCAUGACGGGAGAUAGCACUGCCAGCCCCCUUGGAACCUCACUGUGGCCCCAAGAGGCAGCCGGAGCGGGAGUCAGGGCCCCCUGCAGAGAGGCAGGGCCCGGACCCUGACUCCUGGGCCAAGCUCGUCCCAGGCCACGGUCAGCAGGCUGAAUGUUGGGGGCAUCGGAGGACUUCCCCACCCUUCAGGCGCUCCUUCCUCCCCGAAACUGCCACAGGGCUGGGCAGUGAGUUGGCUGGGCUGGGUGUGUUGCCACUGAGCAGGGCGCCCCGCCCCUAGGAGUGGUGGGGAGGGGCCCCGUCCACCUGUGAUCAACUGUCAGCUUCGUCAUCCCCUAUCCUCCCGCUGCUCUGUCAUCAGGCUUUGGGUGGCCAGGCUGGGAGGCAGGUGGGGCUGGGCCAGGGGUGGAGGGAGCUAAAAGGCAGGCAGACAUGUUUGGCCUUGGUUGCUAUAGAGAUAAUCACUCUAAUGACACCCUUGACAUGUGUCACACUUCAGUUUCACUGGACAUUUCCUAAUAAUAACAGCGCCCAUUAAUGGAUUGCUCACCAUGUGCAGGCACUGUCCUCCAACAGGUGGGAAUUGUUACCCCAUUUCACAGAUGAGGAACCUGAGACGCAGAGAGUUUAAGUUCUUGUCUAAGAUCCACAGCUAGUAAGAGGCAGAAUCCAGAUUUGAACACAGGUCUGCCCAUGAAGCUGGGCUCUCUCUGAAAUCGCACCUCCUGUGCAUUAUUCCGCUCAGCUCUCAGACUGAGUGGGCGACCUGCCUCUCCCAUGCUACAGAUUUGGGAACCGAGGCUCAGAGAAAGGCAGCGGCUUGUCUCAGGCUAGCAAGACGCAGAGGCAGGAUUUGAACCCAGAUCUCCUGGUGUUAAACCCCAGCCUCACCCCGCUCUAUGCUUGUGCUUCUGCAGGAGGAAGAUUAGCCACCGGGCCAGGGAAAUCAGUCCUGGUUGGCAGGGAAUUUCCCCAAAUUUCAGACAUUGCUGAGCCCUGGAUGGCACUGUUUUCUUGGAGUUUAUUUUGGAGUGGGGAGGUGGCCCGGGUCACAGGCUGCCUCGCCAGGGUACUGUUUACUGUUUCACUGUUUUUUUGUGGCUGCUGUUUACCACCAGCCUGUGGGCAACUCAGCUCCUUGAGGCCCCACCAGUCCCAAGCCCAGAGUCCUUUGGGCACCCCACACAGUGGGUCCCUGUCCCGCAGACCCCAGCCCAGCAGAGGUGGCCAGGCCAGCCCUUGGUCUGACGUGGAAUCUUUUCCUAGGGAUGCAGGUGGCCAGGCAGGCUCUUCCAGCCCCCAACCAAGCCUUCAGCACCUCAAGAGCAGGGACCAAGUUCGACCCAUCUCUGUAGCCCCAGACAGGAGUGCCUGUCCCAGGCUGGCACCCCACUGUGGCUCAGGAUGUUGUGACCAGUUGACUGCCUGGCUGGACAAACAGGGGAAAGGAAGGAAAAUGAGGAAGCAAGAGAGAAAGAAAGGAAAGAAGGAAGAUGGGCUGACUCAGAAUAAACAAACUGAAGAAAUGACUAAAGGCACAUUUGGUUGCAUGGAUCACUGAAUACAGCAUGUGACCUGAAUGGGGGACGAGCAGACAGGUGACCAUCCUCCAGCCUCCAUCUGCUCCAAGGAUCCCACGGCCUUGGCCCCUCUGCUCCAUUUUCUGGUACCCCACUCCCAUCCUCCCUGGAGUCUCCUGCGGUCCCGGCCGAGUCUCUGCUGCCCCCGUGUGGCCGCUCUGCUCCCUGCACCAUCAUCAUCCAGGGCUGCCUGCUCUGCUUGGGGUUCCUGGCUUGGUAUGUGUGGUGUUUAUGGAUGGCUGAAGGUGGGGGAGAGUGGGUGCCAGGGGGUGGAACUUUAGAGGUGUGGUCCUGCCCCUUUGGAUGCCUUGGCAGGCCUCCCUAUGUACCCUCUGCUCCCUUUCAUCCCAAAGACCAGAUCCCAAGAGCCCUUGUCCUUGGCCAGAACACCUCCACCCAAAGCCUUGACCUCGAGUUUACAGAGCACUUACUGUAUGCCAUAUACUUGGCAUGUGUCAUUUCAUUCCAGCCUAUGAACUAUGUAUAAUUCUUAUCUUCCAUUGACAAAUGGGGAAACUGAGGUCCAAAGGGGACAGAUAAUUUGCCCAAGUUCCCACAGCUGGUAAAUGGAGGAGCUGGGAUUCUAAGCCGGGCAUUUGGGCUCUAGAGCCCUACACACAGAAUCCCCGAACGUCAGAGGUGCAGGGGGAUUUUACAGGCCUUCUUGUCCAAUACGCUCAUUCUUCAGAUGGGGCAGCUGAGGCUCUCGAAGGGAGGGGAGCUGUCACACAGCAAAUAAGCAGCAGACCAGUCUAUGGCAGGCGGAACCCAGAGGGGCCCUUUCUUCCAAGUUUCUUUCUGUCCAGCCUCCUUGAGGCCAACUCAACCCCAGCUGCCAUUUGAUGGAGCCCAGGGCUGGGGACGCAGGCCUCCCGCCCCCGCCUUGCCAUAAUUGAUCCUUCUGGAUGGGCUGGGAAGGUUGAUAAUGUGGUGGGACUGGGCGGAGAGCGAUGGAGCCCUGUGGCCCAGUCUUAGUGUUUAUUUAGCCUCUCGGUUUGUCCCUUCCGGUGUCUGCAGGCACAGACGACCGCAGGCAGCAGAGAGGAAGUGAAGUUUGGAGUUGCUGUCAAUUUGGAUUCUAAAGUGACUCAUCCUGCUCCUCCCACACUCAGGCCUGGCCCAGCCAAUGCCGCUGGUCAGAUGAGCAAGCUGAGGCUCACACUGGAGUCAGGAGAGGAGCUGGGCUGUGGCAGCCCUCGUCCCAGCCCACGCAUGUGCUCCCCUCACAUGACGCUCUGGGGAGCUCGGCAGACCCACCGCUUUUCAUUCUAUAAAUGGCCUGAGUGCAGACGUCAGCCCUGAGUCACUGGGCGCCCGCUCAGCGGAGCCUGACUCAGUGAUGUGCAGACCUGAAAUAACAAGUCGCUGCUCGUCA